rnacentral:rRNA from 1 species
UACGAAGGGUGCAAGCGUUAAUCGGAAUUACUGGGCGUAAAGCGCGCGUAGGUGGUUCAGCAAGUUGGAUGUGAAAGCCCUGGCUCAACCUGGGAACUGCAUUCCGAACUGUCAGGCUAGAGUGUGGUAGAGGUGAGCGGAAUUUCCUGUGUAGCGGUGAAAUGCGUAGAUAUAGGAAGGAACAUCAGUUGCGAAGGCGGCUCACUGGACCAACACUGACGCUGAGGUGCGAAAGCGUGGGUAGCGAACAGG